rnacentral:rRNA from 1 species
UGCGUAGGCGGUUCUUUGUGUCCGCUGUGAAAGCCCCGGGCUUAACCUGGGAAUUGCAGUGGAAACUAGAGGACUCAGAAUCUGGCAGGAGGGGGGUGGAAUGCCACGUGUAGCAGUGAAAUGCGUAGAGAUGUGGCGGAACACCGAUGGCGAAGGCACGCCCCCUGGGCUGAGAUUGACGCUCAGGCACGAAAGCGUGGGGAGCAAACAGGAUUAGAUACCCUGGUAGUCCACGCCCUAAACGAUGAUCACUAGGUGUUGGGGAAGCGAUUUCCUAGUACCGCAGCUAACGCGUGAAGUGAUCCGCCGUGGGGAGUACGGUCGCAAGAUUAAA